UUUAUGGAGAGUUUGAUCCUGGCUCAGGAUGAACGCUGGCGGCGUGCCUAAUACAUGCAAGUCGAGCGAACGGACGAGAAGCUUGCUUCUCUGAUGUUAGCGGCGGACGGGUGAGUAACACGUGGAUAACCUACCUAUAAGACUGGGAUAACUUCGGGAAACCGGAGCUAAUACCGGAUAAUAUUUUGAACCGCAUGGUUCAAAAGUGAAAGACGGUCUUGCUGUCACUUAUAGAUGGAUCCGCGCUGCAUUAGCUAGUUGGUAAGGUAACGGCUUACCAAGGCAACGAUGCAUAGCCGACCUGAGAGGGUGAUCGGCCACACUGGAACUGAGACACGGUCCAGACUCCUACGGGAGGCAGCAGUAGGGAAUCUUCCGCAAUGGGCGAAAGCCUGACGGAGCAACGCCGCGUGAGUGAUGAAGGUCUUCGGAUCGUAAAACUCUGUUAUUAGGGAAGAACAUAUGUGUAAGUAACUGUGCACAUCUUGACGGUACCUAAUCAGAAAGCCACGGCUAACUACGUGCCAGCAGCCGCGGUAAUACGUAGGUGGCAAGCGUUAUCCGGAAUUAUUGGGCGUAAAGCGCGCGUAGGCGGUUUUUUAAGUCUGAUGUGAAAGCUCACGGCUCAACCGUGGAGGGUCAUUGGAAACUGGAAAACUUGAGUGCAGAAGAGGAAAGUGGAAUUCCAUGUGUAGCGGUGAAAUGCGCAGAGAUAUGGAGGAACACCAGUGGCGAAGGCGACUUUCUGGUCUGUAACUGACGCUGAUGUGCGAAAGCGUGGGGAUCAAACAGGAUUAGAUACCCUGGUAGUCCACGCCGUAAACGAUGAGUGCUAAGUGUUAGGGGGUUUCCGCCCCUUAGUGCUGCAGCUAACGCAUUAAGCACUCCGCCUGGGGAGUACGACCGCAAGGUUGAAACUCAAAGGAAUUGACGGGGACCCGCACAAGCGGUGGAGCAUGUGGUUUAAUUCGAAGCAACGCGAAGAACCUUACCAAAUCUUGACAUCCUUUGACAACUCUAGAGAUAGAGCCUUCCCCUUCGGGGGACAAAGUGACAGGUGGUGCAUGGUUGUCGUCAGCUCGUGUCGUGAGAUGUUGGGUUAAGUCCCGCAACGAGCGCAACCCUUAAGCUUAGUUGCCAUCAUUAAGUUGGGCACUCUAAGUUGACUGCCGGUGACAAACCGGAGGAAGGUGGGGAUGACGUCAAAUCAUCAUGCCCCUUAUGAUUUGGGCUACACACGUGCUACAAUGGACAAUACAAAGGGCAGCGAAACCGCGAGGUCAAGCAAAUCCCAUAAAGUUGUUCUCAGUUCGGAUUGUAGUCUGCAACUCGACUACAUGAAGCUGGAAUCGCUAGUAAUCGUAGAUCAGCAUGCUACGGUGAAUACGUUCCCGGGUCUUGUACACACCGCCCGUCACACCACGAGAGUUUGUAACACCCGAAGCCGGUGGAGUAACCUUUUAGGAGCUAGCCGUCGAAGGUGGGACAAAUGAUUGGGGUGAAGUCGUAACAAGGUAGCCGUAUCGGAAGGUGCGGCUGGAUCACCUCCUUU
rnacentral:rRNA from 1 species